AAGGAAUUAUGUAUAAAAUUAGCUGCUAACUAAAUUUUAAAGCGGUUAAAUUCCGUUUAUUCCUUA
rnacentral:tRNA from 1 species